CCUCGUUUUUUCUGAUCCACUCGAAACCCAUAUUCGCCGUCGAAGAUCACACAGUGUCUCGUCGAUUGGGGAUUGAAGGCUCAAGGCUCGAAAUUUGUACGGAUUGUACAAGCGAGACGUCGACGUUGAAGACCGAUACGUCGACGCUUUGAUCGUUCUUGCCGCAUUGCGUGUUUCUCAGCGAUUGGCGGCGGCGCGGUGGCGAACUCGUCGGAGCCGGACGGAGGAUGAGAAUCGGAGGAUGAACGAUGCCGGUACUGCGUGGAAGGGGCCGUGGUGCAGCUAAAAAGCAGGAGGUUACGAAUCCGAUCGACGCCGGAGAGGCCAUUGCCACCAGAACAAGGCGAAGGCGAGCGGCGGCGGCGGCGGCACUGCCGAAUAAUAACAACAACAACAACAACAACAAUCAGGUGAAGGAGGAAAAGAAUCGGAAGGCAGCGGCUGCGGCUGCGGCCGGUGAGGAGAAGAAGGUAGUCGUUAAGGCGGAGAAAAAGAGGGUCG
rnacentral:lncRNA from 1 species